rnacentral:rRNA from 1 species
UACGUAGGGUGCGAGCGUUAAUCGGAAUUACUGGGCGUAAAGUGUGCGCAGGCGGCCGAGCAAGUCGAGUGUGAAAGCCCCGGGCUUAACUUGGGAAUUGCGCUCGAAACUACUUGGCUGGAGUGUGGCAGAGGAAGGUGGAAUUCCAGGUGUAGCGGUGAAAUGCGUAGAGAUCUGGAGGAACACCGAUGGCGAAGGCAGCCUGCUGGGCCAACACUGACGCUGAUGCACGAAAGCGUGGGGAGCAAACAGG